rnacentral:misc_RNA from 1 species
GAGGAGUCUAACAUCUAUGCGAGUGUUUGGGUGUCAAGCCCGGGCGCGUAAUGAAAGUGAACGGAGGUGGGAACCCUCUUCGGGGGGUGCACCAUCGACCGAUCCUGAUGUCUUCGGAUGGAUUUGAGUAAGAGCAUAGCUGUUGGGACCCGAAAGAUGGUGAACUAUGCUUGAAUAGGGUGAAGCCAGAGGAAACUCUGGUGGAGGCUCGCAGCGGUUCUGAGGUGCAAUCGAUCGUCAAAUUUGGGCAUAGGGGCGAAAGACUAAUCGAACUAUCUAGUAGCUGGUUCCUGC